rnacentral:rRNA from 1 species
CCUCGUACCUUUUGCAUCAUGAUUUCGCCAGCCCACCAAGGCAAAGAGCCCUUUAGUCUUACACCCCGAACCUUAGCGAGCUACUCCCAGCCUGCCGUUUUACGGGCUAACCCUCCUCUGUAGCAAAAGAGAUGGGGAGAGCUGCGAGUAGAGGUGACAGAUCUACCGAGCUAAGUGAUAGCUGGUUUUCUAGGAAAUGAAUACAGUUCAGCCUUUUCUGUUCUUCACAAAAUUAAAGAGUUAGUCAAAGGGGGUACAGCCCCUUUGAAACAGACACAACUUUGCAAGGGCGGAUAAAGAUCCCACCUACACAAGGAACCUGUGCUGAAGUAGGCCUAUAAAGCAGCCAUCUACUUAAAAAGCGUUAAAGCUUAAGCCAAGUAUUUUGACCCCGAAUUCUAAAUCCCCCAUUUUUACUAGAACACUCUACUUUUGUAGAAAAGACAAUGCUAGAAUGAGUAAUAAGAGGGCUGCCCCUCUCCCGAGCCCCUGUGUAAUUUGGAGCAGACAAGCUACCAACAAUUAAGCGACCUCAAAUAAGCGAGAAUUAAGCACUGUGCUAGAAGAGCACUUAUCGUUAACCCUACACUGGAAGGCAAUCAGGGAAAGACUAAAAGGGGGAGAAGGAAUUCGGCAAACAAGCCCCGCCUGUUUACCAAAAACACCGCCUCUUGCGCCCAUAAGAGGUCAAGCCUGCCCUGUGACAUAAGUUUAACGGCCGCGGUAUUCUGACCGUGCUAAGGUAGCGUAAUCACCUGUCUUUUAAAUGAAGACCCGUAUGAAUGGUUUAACGAAGGCUUAGCUGUCUCCUCCCCCCAGUCAAUGAAAUUGACCUCCCCGUGCAGAGGCGGGGAUUUCUUCAUAAGACGAGAAGACCCUGCGGAGCUUUUAAAUACAUGUUAACGCCAAGUCAAGACCCCAGCAAAAUGAUGAACUUAAUGGCACUACACAAUAUUUUUGGUUGGGGCGACCCUGGGGAAAAUCUAACCCCCAUGUGGACUGAGGACAACCUCAAAGCACAGAAAGACAUUUCUAAAACCCAGAAUUUCUGACCUACAGGAUCCGGCAAAGCCGAUCAACGAACCCAGUUACCCCAGGGAUAACAGCGCAAUCCUCUUUCAGAGCCCCUAUCGACAAGAGGGUUUACGACCUCGAUGUUGGAUCAGGACAUCCUA